AAAAGAAGGGCUGAACUGUUGGAAGGAAUGCUGUUAGCCUGAGACUCAGGAAGACAACUUCUGCAGGGUCACUCCCUGGCUUCUGGAGGAGAGAGAAGGAGGGCAGUGCUCCAGUGGUACAGAAGUGAGACACAAUGGAAUCAGGCUUCACCUCCAAGGACACCUAUCUAAGCCAUUUUAACCCUCGGGAUUACCUAGAAAAAUAUUACAAGUUUGGUUCUAGGCACUCUGCAGAAAGCCAGAUUCUUAAGCACCUUCUGAAAAAUCUUUUCAAGAUAUUCUGCCUAGAUGGUGUGAAGGGAGACCUGCUGAUUGACAUCGGCUCUGGCCCCACUAUCUAUCAGCUCCUCUCUGCUUGUGAAUCCUUUAAGGAGAUCGUCGUCACUGACUACUCAGACCGGAACCUGCAGGAGCUGGAGAAGUGGCUGAGGAAAGAGCCAGAGGCCUUUGACUGGUCCCCAGUGGUGACCUAUGUGUGUGAUCUUGAAGGGAACAGGUAGAGAAACUGGUGUCUACUUCUUGGCUUUUGAAGGUAUCUGAGUGAUGGUUGGCAAAAGCGACAGACAGAUAGGGACCAAAGAGAAAUCCAAAUGGAGAAUGAGUGGUAACGAGAGAGCGAGAGCAAGACAGAUGAGAUAGGCCCAUGUGUGUGCGUGUUUGUAAAU
rnacentral:sRNA from 1 species